GGUUGGCUGAAUGUCACACGGCUUCUUUCCUCAACCCAGGAUCAGUGGAGCUUUUGACUCACGCAUCCCUUUCUCCGCCCUUCAGCGCACCGACGCGGCCACAAACAAACAACUUAACGUGCUGAGGAAUGCUGCUCAACGCUUGAAGCAGCGGGUGAACAGAUUAUCUGGCUGUUGCCAAAACGGCAGUUCGUUAUCUGAGGAGCGAUCGGCGCGUGCUGGCAGAACGUGCACGGUUCGGCCUGCCGGAUUCUCACAACAGGCUUCACACGCGGGUGAAGCGCUACAGGUGCGAGCGUUCCUUUGCAGACUGCGGACGGAUGAUGGUGAUGGGAAAGAUUGUCCCGUGAAUGAGGAUAGGAAACACAGCCGCACCUUUGAGGCUCAAGAUGGCCCGAGAUGAGGAUCACCUGUGGACCAAAGGUCAGAUAAAAGGAAAAUCCACCGCAAUCUCUACUCCAUCGACUGGCUAAAGCAACUGAGAAACAGCAGACACGCUGUUCUUUGACACGACCCCUGACGAGGAUAAUCCAAGAGACCUAACACCUCUUUAAGACCUUGAUUGCUACCUGUCAAAGGACAAGAAUCUACUCUUCUCUUUUACAGGGCCCGUAGUAGCCAAGAGCCAAGAAGAGAAUCUUCGUCGUGGCGUAACUCAAAAUCAACCUAAAAGGGUGGACACGUAAUCUGGCAGAUGACAGAUAAGAAGAAAACCACCAGUCAGCGCGUCAGAGCCGCCGCGCAGACGAGUAGCUGGCGGCAAAAUUCUUUGCUUAUUUCUGGGUGUCACCCCACCACGCCGCUUUUCCUCAGGCGCCAAAGGAGUCAUCGCUGCAGCAGGCACAAUGAAUCGCUCCUCCGCCCGCGGAGUGACGCGGUGGGCGAAUGGGCUGAUGGCAGCGCUUUAAAGGUGAGUGGUUUACACGGCAGCUGUUCCCCAGUGGGCCGCCGUGAACGCCCGCCGCCCGUCUUUAACAGCUGACAGACACGUGCUUUUUUCCCCCCCCCUGUUACGCUGGCAUUUAUGGCCUCACGCAGCAUUUUAUUGGACCAUACAAGGACAAGGAAGUUGUUUUUAAGACGGCGUUAUCUCAGUCAAUCAAGCGGCGAGGCCGCUUCAGUCAUGCACACCCUGACAUGACGCCGCUGGCACCGGCGCGAUAGCAACAACUUUAAGAACAAAAUGUUUCAGCAGCUGAGCUGUUCUCAAGGCCAACACGGUUAGUUUUACCAUCGCUUACAUUCAACAGGGACACGAAACCUUUGAAUACUGUGAUGCAAAGUACAAGCACAAAGUUCAGUAGUAGUUUCU
ensembl:lncRNA